GGGUGAGUAACACGUGGGCAACCUGCCUAUGAGACUGGGAUAACUCCGGGAAACCGGGGCUAAUACCGGAUAAUUCUUUUCUACACAUGUAGAAAAGCUGAAAGAUGGUUUCGGCUAUCACUCAUAGAUGGGCCCGCGGCGCAUUAGCUAGUUGGUGAGGUAACGGCUCACCAAGGCGACGAUGCGUAGCCGACCUGAGGGGGUGAUCGGCCACACUGGGACUGAGACACGGCCCAG
rnacentral:rRNA from 1 species